rnacentral:rRNA from 1 species
GAUGAGCGCUAGCUACAGGCUUAACACAUGCAAGUCGAGGGGUAACGAGAGGAAAGCUUGCUUUCCUUGUCGACGACCGGCGCACGGGUGAGUAACGCGUAUCCAACCUGCCCCCAACUAGGGAAUAACCUUGCGAAAGUAAGACUAAUACCCUAUAAUUUCCUCAGAUGUCAUCUGACGAGGAGUAAAGAUUUAUCGGUUGUGGAUGGGGAUGCGUCUGAUUAGCUUGUUGGCGGGGUAACGGCCCACCAAGGCAACGAUCAGUAGGGGUUCUGAGAGGAAGGUCCCCCACAUUGGAACUGAGACACGGUCCAAACUCCUACGGGAGGCAGCAGUGAGGAAUAUUGGUCAAUGGGCGGAAGCCUGAACCAGCCAAGUAGCGUGCAGGAUGACGGCCCUAUGGGUUGUAAACUGCUUUUAUACAGGAAUAAAGUUAGCCACGUGUGGUUAUUUGUAGGUACUGUAUGAAUAAGGACCGGCUAAUUCCGUGCCAGCAGCCGCGGUAA